rnacentral:rRNA from 1 species
UACGGAGGGGGCUAGCGUUGUUCGGAAUUACUGGGCGUAAAGGGCGCGUAGGCGGUGCUUCAAGUCAGGCGUGAAAGCCCCGGGCUUAACCUGGGAAUGGCGUUUGAUACUGGAGGACUGGAGAACGGGAGAGGAAAGCAGAAUUCCUAGUGUAGAGGUGAAAUUCGUAGAUAUUCGGAAGAACACCAGUGGCGAAGGCGACUCACUGGACACGUAUUGACGCUGAGGUGCGAAAGCGUGGGGAGCAAACAGG